rnacentral:lncRNA from 1 species
UAUAAAUAAAACAGAAAAUCAUAAAACUUAUUUAAAAUAAAUACUUUUGAAUGAUUAGCAUUUGUAAAUUAAUUUGAAUAAGUUUAAAUUUGCAAAAUUAGCUAAACAAUCUUGUAAAUUAGCUGUUUUUACGGCGCUUUAACAGUUUGUUUUCCCUAAUCCAUAAUGGUAGCUAUAAAAAUCCGAUUUGUCACGUGACCUCCGACUCCAAGAAUAAGUUAUGCUUUUUUUUUUUCAUUUUCUUAUAUUAUAGCAUUAUAAUAUAUUAUAAAAAGAAUAUAAUAAAAUAAUUUUUAUUUUAUGUAUGUAAAUAUUUUUAUAUUUGUUAGUUGACAAUAAUUUAGAAAAUAGAGAAGUCCAAAGUAAACUUAAAUAUAUUUUGAAUUUUUUAUGUGUGAGUUAGUGUUUUUGUUUUAUUUUAUUAUAAAUUGCAGUUAGUAUAUGUAUAUACAUUUACAAACUGUCACCUAUAAAUGAACUUAAGUAUUUACAUCUAGUUUUUAUUUCAUUUAAACAAGCCUUGGGUUGUGAUAUUUAGCUUUUAUUUAGCUUUUGCUUUUUUUGUUGUAAAUACUUUAUAUGGCUUUGUUUAAUUUGAGGUUUGUUGGUUGUGCUUAUUUAGCUUUUCUUGUUAAGGUACUGAUUUGCUGAGAAGAAAGUUACACAAGCGAAUUUUAAGUUUGUAUAUACUUUUGAUAUUAUCUUUAUACAUGCUCUGAUCUUUAAAAUGAGUAUCAUUUUUGGUAAUGUUAUCUUGAAUUUUAUAGUAUUAUUUUUUUAUACUUAAAACUUUUUUCUUUUUUUUUAGACUUUAAAAAUUUCUAUUUAUGAUUUAUAACAUAUAUUUUUAAAGUUCUGCUUUCACGAUAUUUGGUUUUAGUUGGCUCACUGUUUAUUAUAACUUUAAUUUAGUAAAUUUGAAACUCAAUUAAAUAAUCAAUUAAAGCUAGCGAGUAAGUCACUUUGAUUUAUUAACACUGAGGAAUUUAUGACUUAAAUUUUUUUGCUUGAAUAGGUUCCAAUUAUUUUUAUAUACUAUAAACAUUAUCAGUUUCUUACUCAUUUAGUAUAUUCAAUGAAGAUCAAUUGUGAAGCAACAAUAACAUUGUGAAAUUUGUAUAGGCAUAUGUUUGGUGUGCAUCUUAAGAUCAUGUUGGGGUGUUUUAAUAAAUGUUGAACUUUUUCCACAAAAAAAUUAUAGUAACUGUUAUACAUUUAUUUUAAUAAAUCAACAGGAUGAUAAAAUUUAAUUUGUGUACGUAAACUUGGUCAAAUUUAUCUAAAAUAGGUUUUCAAUAUGUUAUAUAUAUGGAAUUAGUUAUCAUAAAGUUCAAAAUCAAAACUUUUUGCCUGCAGUGGAAAAGCUAAGAAAAAGGAUUUAGCCCAAAGAUUUGUUUUAUAUAAAUAAAUGCAAUAAUAUAAGGGAGUUAAUGAAAGAUAAAUAAUAAAGAAAAGUUUCAUUUGUUGGUUUCGUUUAUUCUUUACAUUAAUAUAUAUAGACAAUAUUUUGUAGGGCUGUCAACUUUAUCGAAAAGGUGAUUGUUCAAUUUCAGCUUCGAUUAAUAAAAUUUUUGAUAAAGCUAUGUCAAAAAGUGUUCAAUCAUUGUUUAACAAAGCAGAAACAAUGCUGUCACAUGUAACAGAAUUCGAUUCGGUGUCAGUUCGUCAAUGCGUUGAUAGGCGAUCAAGAGAGCUCCUUAAAAAAUAAAAUAUUUUAUAUCGUUUUUGUAUACUUUUUCAUUAAAAAUAAAUAUAAUAUUAUUAAA